UACGUAGGGUGCGAGCGUUGUCCGGAAUUAUUGGGCGUAAAGAGCUUGUAGGCGGUUUGUCGCGUCUGCUGUGAAAAUCCGGGGCUCAACCCCGGACUUGCAGUGGGUACGGGCAGACUAGAGUGUGGUAGGGGAGACUGGAAUUCCUGGUGUAGCGGUGAAAUGCGCAGAUAUCAGGAGGAACACCGGUGGCGAAGGCGGGUCUCUGGGCCGAUACUGACGUGAGGAGCGAAAGCGUGGGGAGCGAACAGG
rnacentral:rRNA from 1 species